rnacentral:rRNA from 1 species
CCUACGGGUGGCAGCAGUGGGGAAUAUUGCGCAAUGGGCGAAAGCCUGACGCAGCGACGCCGCGUGAGGGAUGAAGGUCUUCGGAUCGUAAACCUCUGUCAGCAGGGAAGAACGGGCACUGUGCUAAUCAGCAGUGACUUGACGGGACCUUCACAGGAAGCACCGGCUUACUCCGUGCCAGCAGCCGCGGUAAUUCGGAGGGUGCUAGCGUUAAUCGGGAUUACUGGGCGUUAAGCGCGCGUAUGCGGGAUGUCAAGUCCAGGGUGAAAUCCCCGCGCUCAACGCGGGGACUGCUUUGGAAACUGUCCAACUGGAGUGUGGGAGAGGAGAGUGGAAUUCCAGGUGUAGGAGUGAAAUGCGUAGAUAUUUGGAGGAACACCAGUGGCGAAGGCGACUAUCUGGCACAUAACUGACGUUGAGGAGCGAAAGCGUGGGGAGCAAACAGGAUUAGAUACCCUAGUAGUC